rnacentral:misc_RNA from 1 species
CCUUUAAUUUUCUUGUACACUGCCUACAUGGAACUUAUUCCCACAAGCCAUAUUCCAACACCCCUCUCAAGUGCAAUUGGGUUUGUCCCAGACUUCAUAGGCCUAAUUGUUACUUAGCAUUGUAUAGGUUAGCACAUCUAACUUGGGUUUGGCUCCUCUUUACUUUGCCCUCAAGAUCUAGCUCACUAGGUUAGCCCAUGAAUCCACCUGAGGCUGGCUCAGUUAGCUCAACUCACGGGUCUGACUCGCUGCAACUCAACCCACCAUGCUUUUGGGUCCGAAUCUACAGCCAUUGGACUUCACAACUGUGAUACCAUGUUGAAAUCAAGGCCGAGGAGUGCGAAUUAAUAAACAGGCAAGUCUCUAUGCUGAUAUGGG